rnacentral:rRNA from 1 species
UACGUAGGGGGCAAGCGUUGUCCGGAUUUAUUGGGCGUAAAGAGCGUGUAGGCGGCCAAACAGGUCCACUGUGAAAACUCGAGGCUCAACCUCGAGAGGUCGGUGGAAACCGUCUGGCUAGAGUCCGGAAGAGGAGAGUGGAAUUCCCGGUGUAGCGGUGAAAUGCACAGAUAUCGGGAAGAACACCCGUGGCGAAGGCGGCUCUCUGGGACGGUACUGACGCUGAGACGCGAAAGCGUGGGGAGCGAACAGG